rnacentral:lncRNA from 1 species
GAGAGAAGAAUCAGUAGAGCUACAUUUUCUUGGCACUCCAAAAUGUGAAUUUCAAAACUGUUAGUUCAGAAAUGUUCAACUUUUGCUGCCCAUUGGAAUUACCCGGAGAGCUAUAAAAGGACACUGAUGCCUGGGCUGCACCUCCCAGAGGUCCUGAUUUGAUCAAUCCAAAGGAAGGCCUGGGAAGUAAAUUUUUAAAAGUUCCACAGUAUUUCUGAUGGCCUCACGGAUCAGGAGUCUGCAAGACCACCCUCAGGCUUCAUGCACUAAAAGGACUCACAGGACUCAGAAAAAGCUGUCAUACGCAUGUUUACGGUUUCUUAGAGUGAAAGACUACAGAUUAGAGUCAGCAAAAGGAAAAGGUGGAUAGCGCAGAGUCUAGGAGAAACAGGGCACAAGCUUCCAGUUGGCUUCUCACAAAGGUGUUGCAUGAACAGCACUUAAUUAUCUCAGCAACAAUGUGACACACAUGUAAAUUUUUGUAUCCUAUGAAUCUCACCUGAGCCUUGGUGUCCAAGGAUUUUUAUUGGGUUUAGUGGCAAAGGCAUGCAGUGGCUACGGGCCAACAUUAGCUACUCAGUCUCCAGCCCGCAGAGGUCAGUGUGGUUCAACAACUGAUGCAGUGUGGUUCAACAACUUAGACGACAAAAACACUCCUGGCAGGCAGGAGAUUUCAAGAGAGCUCAGAGGUCACCUCCUGGAUGUCAGCCAAGGACCAGUGCUUUUUUUUUGAAUGUGCAGGGUUUGAGUAACCCAAGACUGCUGUGUUAACCUUUACCUGGACACCUAUAUACAUAUAUUUGUCUGUUCUUUGGAUUCUCCAUUGAACUGGGUAUUGCUGUUACUGUUUUUGCCUUCCUAGUUUCUCAUUAAUGGGAUAAAAUAAAUCUUUGACACAUU